rnacentral:rRNA from 1 species
GAUGAACGCUGGCGGCGUGCCUAAUACAUGCAAGUCGAGCGAACAGACGAGGGGCUUGCUCCUCUGACGUUAGCGGCGGACGGGUGAGUAACACGUGGAUAACCUACCUAUAAGACUGGGAUAACUUCGGGAAACCGGAGCUAAUACCGGAUAAUAUAUUGAACCGCAUGGUUCAAUAGUGAAGGACGGUUUUGCUGUCACUUAUAGAUGGAUCCGCGCCGCAUUAGCUAGUUGGUAAGGUAACGGCUUACCAAGGCGACGAUGCGUAGCCGACCUGAGAGGGUGAUCGGCCACACUGGAACUGAGACACGGUCCAGACUCCUACGGGAGGCAGCAGUAGGGAAUCUUCCGCAAUGGGCGAAAGCCUGACGGAGCAACGCCGCGUGAGUGAUGAAGGUCUUCGGAUCGUAAAACUCUGUUAUUAGGGAAGAACAAAUGUGUAAGUAACUAUGCACGUCUUGACGGUACCUAAUCAGAAAGCCACGGCUAACUACGUG